GUUUGGCGGGGUCUUUGUCUCUCGCUGGCGCUGGCAUAGGAGUUUGGGAUCCGUCUCCUUUUACUCCUCCUCCACCUUGGGAGCCCUGGGCUACUCUCUUACAGCCCCUGUUGCCCUGUGAUCUGUAGGUUAUUGGGGACGCAUAGUUAGGGCAUCAGGACAUCCUGGAAGCUGGGAAAUGAUAUGUAUUCAUUUCCUACCACCGUAGUGGAAGAAGACUAUCCCUAUCUUUACACUGAUAGCAUUUCCAACAGUAAGCUGUGAGAUUCUGCUUGAAAUCACCUCUCAAACAAAUAAAAAACAGACCUGGGAAACUGCUACACUCAUUCUGCUGAAGAAAUAGCAUCCAGUUGCCUGGCCUGCAAUGUGUCUCUAAGGAAUGGAAACUAAGCGUUGGGGCAUCAUACUGGGGAAACAGGGAUUCAAAAGACCCAGGCUGUUCCCUACAUAUGUUUCCUCCUCGACAUCAGUUCAUCAGUCAAUCAAGUCAUGUGAGAGUGGAGGCCUGUAUUCCCUAUUAUUUUGGGCACUCUCCUCCAAGGAGGAAAGGCCAGGA
rnacentral:lncRNA from 1 species